rnacentral:rRNA from 1 species
GACGAACGCUGGCGGCGUGCUUAACACAUGCAAGUCGAACGGAAAGGCCCUGCUAUUGUGGGGUGCCCGAGUGGCGAACGGGUGAGUAACACGUGAGUAACCUGCCCUUGACUUUGGGAUAACUUCAGGAAACUGGGGCUAAUACCGUAUAGGAGCUCCUGCUGCAUGGUGGGGGUUGGAAAGUUUCGGCGGUCGGGGAUGGACUCGCGGCUUAUCAGCUUGUUGGUGGGGUAGUGGCCUACCAAGGCGUUGACGGGUAGCCGGCCUGAGAGGGUGGUCGGCCACACUGGAACGGAGCCAGGGACAAGAGGACUAAGGUACGGCCCAGACUCGAACGGGAGGCAGCGGGGGGGAGUAUUACACAAUGAGACCGAGCCUGAGGAGGCAACGCCGCGUGCGGAAUGACGGCCUUCGGGUUGUAAAACGCUUUCGCCUGUGACGAAGCGUGAGUGACGGUAAUGGGUAAAGAAGCACCGGCUAACUACGUG